UGAGCAAUCUGCCCUUCUCUUUGGAAUAAGCGUUGGAAACGACGUCUAAUGCCGAAUACGACCUCCUUUCGCAUGAUCGGAGGUGGAAAGCUCCGGCGGAGAAGGAUGAGCUCGCGGCCUAUCAGCUAGUUGGUGUGGGUAAUGGCCCACCAAGGCGACGACGGGUAGCCGGCCUGAGAGGGUGACCGGCCACACUUGGACUGAGACACGGCCCAGACCUCCGUACGGGGAGGNAGCG
rnacentral:rRNA from 1 species